CUUGGAGGGGAGAAAUCCACCAAGGUAACUUAGAAGUACUGAAUACAGGUAACUGCCACAAACCCAACAAUUUGGAUUGAUUUUAAAAUAGCAUAAUAUCGUGCUCCUGAUGGAAAAACUUUUCAUUCAUAUGCAAAAGUUCAAAACAUCAGGAAAACAUUAUAAGUCAUCAUACAAGUCAGGUCCAGCAUCUUGGGCCAGCUGUCUACUUCUUAUGUCAUCUUCUUCUCAUCCUAGUGUAGUUUCUCUUCUAAGUGAGCAUUGCUUUAAAAUGAUUUUGAGGUCCAGCAGUCCAGUCCACUCCAGUCCAGUCCAGGGGCUUUUCUUUUUUUUAAGCAAGCGAAUAUGAAUCCAAGAGUCAAUUCCCUUUGGUUUUGCUUGUUGCCCAUGAGGUAGUUAGGAGCACCUGGUGAGGGCCUUUCUUUUUUGGCUUGGAAAUAGUCCUUUUAUAUUAUGUCCUUUUCAGUGUGCAUAGUCUCCUUGUCGCAGGUUCUGAGGCAUCUGACUUCAUCCAAAAACAGAUCACUGAGAUAAACCUUAGAAACAAUCUUAGACUGUCCUUUUAGAAGCUCAGUUAAACUUUUCAGCAAUAUAACAUAAUAGCAAAGAACUAUCUAGGAAGUAAGUCUUUGUGAAUCCUGACCACAAUUAACAGAAUUAGAUUAACAGAUUUUAACAGUUGUCCAUUGAAACAUGUCUUUCUCUCUAAAAUUACUCUCAUUUUAUCAAAUAUAGCCAAACCAAGACUAAUUCAUUUGCUCAUUAACUCUGGUAUAAACAAACUUGGCCUGAUAAUUUAUGUAAAUAUAAUCGAUCAUAUAGGAUUUUCUAAAAAUUGGCUUUGCUAGAACUUCUUAUAAGGAAUCUCAGAUUAAGCUUUAAAAAGGCAUCUCAGAGCUGGGAAAGUCAUGCCAAGUGCUGGCCAGAAAUUUUGUCUUAAAGAUCCAAGUGAAUUCCUCCCUUUUCAAAAACCCAAAAUACCUUGAGAUUUCUGCAGGCUACUUCAAGGUGGCCCUCCUAAUUUAUCCGAUAAAGCUGCUGGAAACUUAAAGGUUUCCAGGCUUUGGUGGGAUCAGAUGGAGGAAAGAGAGAAAUGUUUCAAUUCUGCUUACAAAGAUAUAAUUUAUCUAAUUACUAUAAGUCAUAAUUAGCUUAAGUGGAAGGGUUUAUUUAAGCCUGGAUGACACAGAUUAAAAGCCAAUACUAUUUCAGAUAGAAACCAUAAAGUUAUAACCAUAUUCACCAGUUCACUCAGUCCAAUGUAACCAAUCCUUUUUAAUUGUUUAUGGAACCACCAUCAGAUUUUCUUUUAGAAUUCUUUCUUACCCAGUUCAGCAUUAUGGUCUGAAAGUCAGAAACUUAUAUAGUUCAAAAAGUUCUUCCUAUAGAUCUUGAAGAGGAAGCAUUUUUGCAAAGGCAGCAGAGUAAAACCAUUAACUGUCUAUAAUGUUAAGACUUUAAGGCACAUUUAAAUUCAAUUACAAUUACAAUUGACAAAGAAGCUUGGUUACUUUUGUGACCAUACUGUAUAAUCUGAGGAGGCUAUCACUUAUUAAUAAUGCUCUCUGUAUUUUAACAUACCAUAUAAUCCUAAUUAACAUUUCUUGAGAUGCCUCUCUGAAGCAUUCUAAAGUUAGCUGAAGUCAAAACAACUUACUAGAGUUUAAAAAGGAAUUUCAUCAAAAAUCAAGUUUUGUUUUAAUUGGUCAGAUAAAAUCAUAGGUCACUGUGGAUGCUUUUCUCUUAACCAAAGUUACAAGAGAUCUCAAAAGCAAAUACAGAUCACUUAAAGGCAAAGGACCUCAUAAAAUAUUUUAUCCAAAAUAGCAUUCCAAGAAAACCUAGUUCUCUUAACAGAGAAAAGCCAAAUUUAAGUUUUGCACCAGCUUAUUUUUAAAAUUUACUCAACUAAAUUUAUUCUAAACCUAGUCCUGACAAUGCACAACUCUUCUGUGUCCUCUUCCUACAAACCUUUCUGCACUUUCUGUAUCCAUUAGUUUGUUCCCUAUUUUCCAUUCCAAACAACAAGCUAGCUAUAGGACAGACUUACUAUUCUUUUCCCUUGAUAAAAUGGAAUUCUAUUCCUCAUUCCUUCUUUACUGAAAACACAUACCCUACUUUUCUAAAGCAACACAAUUCUAGUUUGCACAUUACCAAUAUCUGGAGAGAUCAUUCUUAAGUAGACAUUUUUAAGAUAUAAUUAUUUCUGAAAGUUUACCCAAAAGCUUUUAUCUCACAUUUAAUUUACUUAUAAGGAUUUCAUCAUGCCAAGUUAUUUUUCUUGUUGCUAAUUUUGCAACAGAUAUAAUAAGAUCUUAUUUCUAUAAACCUAGGUACAAUAAAGAUGUUAUACUUAAUGUUGAUAACUCUAAAGUCAUGUCUAUGUUAAUUAUAUCAACAAAGUUUAAUUUUAAUACCAGGUAUUAAUUUAAUACUGAAUAUUUCCCAGUUCACAAUAAGUUUAAGUUCUGGCCAGUUACCUUCUGUAUUUUUGAGAAUUUACAUCAGCACUUAAUUUCCUUUAAGCCAAUCAAGUAGAGCUCACUUACAAAUUGUUUCUGAUAAUACUAUCCAAAAGUUAAGACAUAUAUAAUGCACAUAAAAACACAGACACAACCAGAGAUAUCAUAAAUUCAUUUUCUAAGCUUAGUCACAAGUUAGAUAUCACAAGUAAAACUCACUAGUUUAAAAUAACAGUUGGAAUAAGUUUUAAAAAGACUUCUUUCCCAUUUUUUUCCUUCAGUCUCAGGAAUUAGAGAUUUUUUUCUGGAUAGGAAGCAUUCCUGAGAGCCCUGGUCUCAAGGCUCAGGGACAGGAAGCCCAUUCUCCUAGCAGGACUUGUUCCCUCAAGGUCAGAAAUUAACCAGUUUCAGAAUCUAAUAUCCAGCACAAAUGAACAUCUCCUCAGAAAAAAAAAUCAUGGACUUGGAGAAAAGACUUGUGGCUGCCUGAUGGAAGGGGGAGGGAGUGGGAGGGAUCAGGAGCUUGGGCUUAUCAGACACAAUUUAGAAUAGAUUUACAAGGAGAUCCUGCUGAAUAGCAUUGAGAAUUUUGUAUAGAUGCUCAUGUUGCAACAGAACAAAGGGUGGGGGGAAAAAUGUAAUUGUAAUGUAUACAUGUAAGGAUAACUUGAUCCCCUUGCUGUACAGUGGGAAAAAAUAAAUAAAUAAAUAAAAAUAAAAAAAGACAUGAAAUUUCAAGAGUCUCACCCAAAUCAACUUUCUCUGGAGUCUAAAGACUAUUGUAACCAUAAAGGUUAAAAUAAAAUAUCAUCUUUUUCUUAGUCUAGCCUCUUCCUAGUCAUACAGAAUUUGUCCCAGAGAGCUCCACAGUGGAACCAAACCAGAAUCUCCUCUUUCACAAGGCACAAUGGCCAUCACAAAUGACAAUACAGAACAUAGAGUACUAAUCACAAACAUGGCCAUCCUAAUCAGACACUGACUUAAAUUCAAGAUUGUUGUCUUUCAGAAAACCUACAGGGACACAGAACCUUCAGAUCUGAGUACCAAUAAACAGAUACACGGAAAUAUUUUGGGUCUUCAAAGGUUUCAAAGGGAGGAAAAGUGGCCAGCUUGAUAGAAGGGAAAGGAAAAAGGUCAACAAGUUCUCUUGUCCCUUACCAGGUCAGGGCACUCUGGCCAGCUGUCCACAUCAAGAAGAGAUCAGGGGAGUUCCCGUCGUGGUGCAGUGGUUAACGGAUCCAGCUAGGAACCAUGAGGUUGCGGGUUCAGUCCCUGGCCUUGCUCAGCGGGUUAACGAUCCAGCGUUGCCAUGAGCUGUGGUGUAGGUUGCGGACGCAGCUUGGAUCCCGCGUUGCUGUGGCUCUGGCGUAGGCCAGUGGCUACAGCUCCAAUUCAACCCCUAGCCUGGGAACCUCCAUAUGCCGCAGGAGCGGACCAAGAAAUGGCAAAAAAAAAAAAAGAAGAGAUCAGGGACCUAAGGGUCCCAGUUGUGGCCAUUGGGUCUUGUCUGUCCGUGGGCAAGCUGGUCCUCAAGUACCCCAAGUGGUUGGGUAUCAGUCAAGACAAAGAGGGGAUAUCCCACUAGGGUCAUGAAUCCUGAAAAAUAAUUUUCUCCAAGCUAGCUUUCUCUAAUAACUGCAUAUGCAAUAAAAGAGCACAUUUUAGUUAUUUUCGAGCAAUUUUUUACUAAUACUCAAUUAAGUAGAUACUUGCAAGUAUAAGUUUUCUAAGUAUAUAAAUCUGGCUGAAUCAUUUUUCUCUUUGAGACUUUAUUUCCCAUUCUAAAGUUGAAUUUGUCAGGGAUGAAGUUUACUAGUGACAUUGUCUGGUGUGCCAGUGUGCUGCUUGAGAGCUUAAUUUCUCUAGGUUUUAGCCCAGAGUUGCUUCAGCUCUCUCAGUGGCAUUUAGGACACCAUGGGUGCUCAGAUCAUGGAAUGGCCAGUUCUUACCUAUGUCCCCAGUUCAGCAGAUAUUAAUUAAUGAGUGCUAUGUGACCACUGAAUAGCGUUAGGACUCUGCCUCUACCACUCCCAUUAAAUUUCUCAGUCACCUGAGAAAAUCGUAACGGGCCAGGGGAGUCUUGUCCCUUUUCUUCAGAGCAAAGGCUCUCAUCUAGUAUCUUCACCUUAUCCUAACAAAUUCUAUUAUGGCAGCCAAAUUGAGGAAAAGCAUUAGAUCACUCUUACCUGACCACAUAGCCCAGACCCCUCAGUCUCUUAACUGAGCCAACCAUGAAAUCUUUCAACUGAGCCUCCCCUGCUGUCUCCACUGGUGGGGUAUAGUCACUGGUAUCUCCCAACCAAGCUUCUCAGCAUCUCCACAGAAGAGGUAUUCCCCAGCCAGCUUCCUCCAAGCUUCUCUGCUGAGGAGGCGUUCCGUCCCUCAGUAUUCCCCACUGAGGGAGCACCCCCUGGCCAGGUUUCCCCCCAGCGUUUCUGCUGAGAAGGUAUUCCUUCUCCUCAGUAUUCCCCACUGAGGGGGUAUUCCCUGGCUAGUUUCCCCCAGCAUCUCUGCUGAGGAUGUAUCCCCCCUGCUAUCUUCAACCAGCCCCCACCCCAGUCUUUUUCACCUAAGGGGGGAAGGUACCUGUUACACAUUAAAUAAAAAUUCAGGAUCAUCAACCAAUAUUGGAGAUCCGAGAUACAGGAGAGACUCAGUCAAAUUCAUCUGGACUCCCUGAGGAGAUGGACAGGCAUAAGGGGGUCUCUGCUGGCCUCAAGGUUCCAUUUCCUCAAAGGGUUCAGGUGAAGAAGAAAAUUCUCUGGUCCCUUGUGUGGUCACCAUAACUGUCGGCUAAAAAAAAAAAAAACAAAAAAAAACAAAAAAAAAAAAAACCUGAAAAUUGAGAGUUAAGUUUUAUUUGGGGUGAAAUUAGGACUUAAGCCCAUGAGACAGCAUCUCGGGUAGCCCUGAGAAACCACUCUGAGGAGAUGGGGGGAAGCUAGGAUAUACAAGUUUUCGCAAGAAUGGGGAGGUAGUAGAAAAAAAGAUUUACAGAUAACCAGAUUUACAGAAAAUUUACAGAAAACCACCUCUAUGGGAUGAUGUGGGCUUACUGGAAUCCCUCCUUUGAUAUGCUUUCCUGAGUUCCCUUGGGGCUCAAUGGCUCACCCUUGAGAGUAGCUGUUCUCACAGGAGACCAUGACAUCUUUCAUUCUGCCCACUAACUACUGCCCAAAGAGGAAAGGGGGAAUAUCAAGAUAUAAGUCAUAAAGGUGAAGGGGGAGGUGCAGGCUGCCAUGCACACAUUUUACAGAAGUUUUCUGCUGGUCUUGUGAAGGUUACUACUAGUCACAGACAUCAGUCAUCAUUGACAGAUUUUAGUGUUUUUCCAGAUAUGAGGAGAUGCAGGAAUUGGGCUCAUAAAAUCUUCUGAAAGCAUCUGAGGGCCCAUUCUUCCAGUUUUCCCAGAGCACAGAGUGCCUCACUCCUGUCUCCACCCUGAGCUCCACUCAGGGGGUGCUGCGGGUUGUCAGCUGCAGUGGCUCAUGUUCUACUCCAUAUAAAGGCUGAUACCAAGUACCAAACUUCAGUUCACAC
rnacentral:lncRNA from 1 species